UACGAGGGGGGCGAGCGUUGUUCGGAAUUAUUGGGCGUAAAGGGCGCGUAGGCGGUGCGGUAAGUCACCUGUGAAACCUCUGGGCUCAACUCAGAGCCUGCAGGCGAAACUGCCGUGCUGGAGUGUGGGAGAGGUGCGUGGAAUUCCCGGUGUAGCGGUGAAAUUCGUAGAUAUUCGCAAGAACACCAGUGGCGAAGGCGGCUCACUGGCCCGAUACUGACGCUGAGGCACGAAAGCGUGGGGAGCAAACAGG
rnacentral:rRNA from 1 species